rnacentral:rRNA from 1 species
UACGUAGGCAGCGAGCGUUGUUCGGAGUUACUGGGCGUAAAGGGUGUGUAGGCGGUUCUUUAAGUUUGGUGUGAAAUCUCCACGCUCAACGUGGAGGGGUCCGUCGAUACUGCCGUGACUCGAGUCCGGUAGGGGAGUGUGGAAUUCCCGGUGUAGCGGUGAAAUGCGCAGAGAUCGGGAGGAACACCCGUAGCGAAGGCGGCACUCUGGGCCGGUACUGACGCUGAGGAGCGAAAGCGUGGGGAGCAAACAGG